GGGGGCGUAGCUCAGUUGGUAGAGCGUUCGGUUGAAGCCCGGAAUGCCGCCGGUUCAAGUCCGGCCUUCACUACCA
rnacentral:tRNA from 1 species